UACGUAGGGGGCAAGCGUUGUCCGGAAUCAUUGGGCGUAAAGCGCGUGUAGGCGGCUAGGUAAGUCUGCUCUGAAAGCCCGGGGCUCAACCCCGGGAGGCGGGUGGAUACUGUCUAGCUCGAGUCCGGAAGAGGAGUGUGGAAUUCCUGGUGUAGCGGUGAAAUGCGCAGAUAUCAGGAGGAACACCAAUGGCGAAGGCAGCACUCUGGGACGUGACUGACGCUGAGACGCGAAAGCGUGGGGGAGCAAACAGG
rnacentral:rRNA from 1 species